rnacentral:lncRNA from 1 species
GGUGGGGGGUGAGUGUUGUGAUUAUGAUUUGGGAGCAUGAAAAGUUUGAAGGAAAAGAAUAGACUCUUUGUGUUUAAGUAAAUACUCUUAUUGGGAUAAGUAGAUAAACAUCUAGCUCAAGUUUAUGAAAAGUCUUGGCCCCCAAAAAUAAAAAAUAAAAAAAUAAAAAAAGAAGAAAAAGGGGGCUAGCAAAGUUGUUAGGAGCUAAGAAAUGUUUUUAAAUCGUGAAAGAAAAAAAAAAUCCCUCGUAGAUUUCAAAGAGAAAGAGUUUUAUGUGAAAAAUGUUCUUAGGAUCUUUUGGUGAGAGAUGUGAGUUGAGUUUGACAUUGGGAAAUGAUUGUGUAACUUGUAUGUUUGGGAAAAGGGUAGAACAAUGGAGAUGGAGCAUUGUAUGCAUGGGCUGAUCCCUUUCUUAGAUAUAUUAUGUGCAAUGUCAAGGCUACUUGUCUUGAGAGUAAACCACCUUAAAGAUCAUGUAUCUUGAACCUCUUGACUCACUUGAAUAAAAAGUCUUCCCUUACCCA